rnacentral:lncRNA from 1 species
AUGCUGCUCUCAUGUCUCCUUGUUAAACACUCCUCAAAGAUUGCUCCUUGGAGCACAAAUAAGAGCUGUGAGACGGUCUGCAGGAUGGUAGACAAGAACAACUUCUGGUUCAAGCAAGGAUCGAGGAGCCAGGAAACAACAAGUAAAGAAAAGAACAGAACAAACAAAAGAGCAGCAGCAGCAGGGUGUCGAUCCUGAGGAAAGAGAGAGAGAGGACUUAAACCAGCCGGCUUAAAUCAGCUGCAGAGCCAGGCCCAGGUGCUCCCAUUCAGCCAUCCCCUGCAACCUGCAACACACAGGACACAGCCAUGGGCUAAGGGCCGUAACAACUGAAAGUUUCAAAAGUAGGUAGGCCACUCACACGAGUACCAAUGUCAAUAUUUAUGGAACAAAGGUCUGCUCUCAGUGUAUCCUUUGAUAUUAGUACUUUUUCAUAAACACCUGACAUUGUGUAAUUAAGACACUGUUUCUAAACGUACAUAUAUUUGCAAACAGAUAUUUUUGCCCAGCUGCUGCGCAACAUAUAGGCUAAUACUAAUAUAUAUAGUAUGUCAGAAGAUAAAGGGCUCUAUCUUAACGAUCUGAAACGCAGGUAUCAAGCGCAAAACGCAAGUAGCUUUGUGGGUGGAUCUCAGGCGCUGUUGUUAUUAUGCCGGCGGGAUAAAUGACUCUUUUGCCCGACGCAAAUCUAAAAUGGGUUGGUCUGUAGUAGCUACAUUACUCAUAGAUGUGGUCUGGGCUGAUGUGCAAUAAACCAAUCAGAGCGUCAUGUCACAUUCCCUUUAAAAGCAGGCGCGCUUGUUCCAUGGCGGACUGCUAUUAUAAUGGCGAAUUUGGCAUAAUGUGUGUGUAUAUAUACAAUGUGUAUAUAAUAUAGUAUAGAGAGAGGAUAUAGAGAAGAUUAUACAGAGAGAUAGAGAGAGAAGAAGAGAAGUAGCGAGAGAGAGAGAGAGAGAGAGAGAGGAGAAGAGGACAGACUAGAGAGAGAGACAGACAGACAGAGAGAAAGAAGAGAGAGAGAGAGAGAGAGAGACAGACAGAGAAAAGAGAGAGAGAGAGAGAGAGAAGACGACAGAGAAUAGAGAUAGAGAAGAGAGAAGAGAGAACAGAGAUAGAGAGAUAAGAGAUAGGAGAUAGAGAGAGACAAACACAGAAGAAUAGAGAGAUAGA